rnacentral:rRNA from 1 species
CUACGGAGGGUGCGAGCGUUAAUGGGAAUUACUGGGCGUAAAGCGUACGUAGGCGGUUGGUUAAGUUAGAUGUGAAAGCCCCGGGCUUAACCUGGGAACUGCAUUUAAAACUGGCGAACUAGAGUUGAGUAGAGGGGAGUGGAAUUUCAGGUGUAGCGGUGAAAUGCGUAGAGAUCUGAAGGAACACCAGUGGCGAAGGCGACUCCCUGGACUCGAACUGACGCUGAGGUACGAAAGCGUGGGGAGCAAACAGGAUUAGAAACCCUAGUAGUCC